UCACCUCCACACGCUAGCCUCCAGGCUGGGCUGGGCAAGUAUCUCUUGGAAAGGCUCACUCUCAAGCACCACUAGGAGC
rnacentral:pre_miRNA from 1 species